rnacentral:rRNA from 1 species
UAGGGAAUCUUGCGCAAUGGGCGAAAGCCUGACGCAGCCAUGCCGCGUGAAUGAUGAAGGUCUUAGGAUUGUAAAAUUCUUUCACCGGGGAAGAUAAUGACGGUACCCGGAGAAGAAGCCCCGGCUAACUUCGUGCCAGCAGCCGCGGUAAUACGAAGGGGGCUAGCGUUGCUCGGAAUUACUGGGCGUAAAGGGCGCGUAGGCGGAUGUCUAAGUUGGGGGUGAAAUCCCGGGGCUCAACCUCGGAAUUGCCUUCAAAACUGGAUAUCUUGAGUUCGGGAGAGGUGAGUGGAACUCCGAGUGUAGAGGUGAAAUUCGUAGAUAUUCGGAAGAACACCAGUGGCGAAGGCGACUCACUGGCCCGAUACUGACGCUGAGGCGCGAAAGCGUGGGGAGCAAACAGGAUUAGAUACCCUGGUAGUCCACGCUGUAAACGAUGAGUGCUAGUUGUCGGCAUGCAUGCAUGUCGGUGACGCAGCUAACGCAUUAAGCACUCCGCCU